rnacentral:lncRNA from 1 species
GUGACUGGCAAGAUGGACAUUAAACAUUGAGAACUCAGGUGUGCUGACAAGUUUUUGGAGUGAGCAUCAUCUGGACAACUAGGUCUUCAUCAUGGGAAGACCUAGAUUAUCAGAGAGCCUUCAUCAUUGCAGAAACAAUAAGUGGUAAAUGUGGCUGGUAUGAAAAGUGAGAAGCAGGGAAGGACCAGGUGUGUUCAAGGAGGCCAGCGUGGGGAGGCUCUCAAGGAGACUCAGAAGAGUGAAGGGACAUGAUCUAGGAUGGCAAAUGAAACACACUGAUCCUACAUUUGGAAUAUGGAGACACAGAAAGGUUUUGGUUUCAAAGGUAGCCAAGGCAGAAUUACCAGGACCCUACUUAAAGGUACCUUUAUUUACAUCAAUAACAUUUACAGUGUGAGCUGUCAAAUUAUUGUCAAAUGUGGGUGUAAGGAUACAGGAGUUUAUCUGUAGGUGACUCAUCUUAAAAGUUUUAAUCAGAGAGUGUAGUUAAUUAAAAGG